UACAGAGGUCCCAAGCGUUGUUCGGAUUCACUGGGCGUAAAGGGUGCGCAGGCGGUCGGGUAAGUCUGACGUGAAAUCUUCAAGCUCAACUUGGAAACUGCGUCGGAUACUAUUCGGCUAGAGGAAUGGAGGGGAGACUGGAAUACUUGGUGUAGCAGUGAAAUGCGUAGAUAUCAAGUGGAACACCAGUGGCGAAGGCGAGUCUCUGGACAUUUCCUGACGCUGAGGCACGAAAGCCAGGGGAGCAAACGGG
rnacentral:rRNA from 1 species